CAAUAGCGUAUAUUAAAGUUGUUGCAGUUAAAAAGCUCGUAGUCGGAUUUCGGGUCGGGCCGAGCGGUCUGCCGAUGGGUAUGCACUGGCUGGUCUCAACUUCCUGUAGAGGACGCGCUCUGGGUUAACGCUCGGACGCGGAGUCUACGUGGUUACUUUGAAAAAUUAGAGUGUUCAAAGCGGGCUUACGCUUGAAUAUUUCAGCAUGGAAUAACACUAUAGGACUCCUGUCCUAUUUCGUUGGUCUCGGGACGGGAGUAAUGAUUAAGAGGAACAGUUGGGGGCAUUCGUAUUUCAUUGUCAGAGGUGAAAUUCUUGGAUUUAUGAAAGACGAACUUCUGCGAAAGCAUUUGCCAAGGAUGUUUUCAUUGAUCAAGAACGAAAGUUAGGGGAUCGAAGAUGAUUAGAUACCGU
rnacentral:rRNA from 1 species